AGUAGUGUGGCUCAGUGGAAAGGGCACAGGCCGGGGUAUGAGAGGAUCUGGGUUCUAAUCCCAGCUCUGCCA
rnacentral:tRNA from 1 species